UACGUAGGCAGCAAGCGUUGUUCGGAAUUACUGGGCGUAAAGAGUGUGUAGGCGGUGCUCUAAGUUCGGUGUGAAAUCUCCCGGCUUAACUGGGAGGGUGCGCCGGAAACUGGAGUGCUCGAGCGUGGGAGAGGAAAGCGGAAUUCCGAGUGUAGAGGUGAAAUUCGUAGAUAUUCGGAAGAACACCAGUGGCGAAGGCGACUUACUGGACACAUAUUGACGCUGAGGUGCGAAAGCGUGGGGAGCAAACAGG
rnacentral:rRNA from 1 species